GGGGAAUUUUCCGCAAUGGGCGAAAGCCUGACGGAGCAAUACCGCGUGAGGGAUGAAGGCCUAUGGGUUGUAAACCUCUUUUUUCAGGGAGGAAUCAAUGACGUGUACUUGAAGAAUAAGCAUCGGCUAACUCCGUGCCAGCAGCCGCGGUAAGGCGGAGGAUGCAAGUGUUAUCCGGAAUCACUGGGCGUAAAGCGUCUGUAGGUGGUCAAAUAAGUCAACUGUUAAAUCUUGAGGCUCAACCUCAAAAUCGCAGUCGAAACUAUUAGACUAGAGUAUAGUAGGGGUAAAGGGAAUUUCCAGUGGAGCGGUGAAAUGCGUAGAUAUUGGAAGGAACACCGAUGGCGAAGGCACUUUACUGGGCUAUUACUGACACUCAGAGACGAAAGCUAGGGUAGCAAAUGGGAUUAGAUACCCCAGUAGUC
rnacentral:rRNA from 1 species